rnacentral:rRNA from 1 species
CACGUAGGGGGCAAGCGUUGUCCGGAUUUAUUGGGCGUAAAGAGCUCGUAGGUGGUUCAGUAAGUCGGGUGUGAAACCUCCAGGCUCAACCUGGAGACGCCACCCGAUACUGCUGUGACUAGAGUCCAGUAGGGGAGCAUGGAAUUCCUGGUGUAGCGGUGAAAUGCGCAGAUAUCAGGAGGAACACCAGUGGCGAAGGCGGUGCUCUGGGCUGGAACUGACACUGAGGAGCGAAAGCGUGGGGAGCGAA